rnacentral:rRNA from 1 species
GAUGAACGCUGGCGGCGUGCCUAAUACAUGCAAGUCGAGCGAACGGACGAGAAGCUUGCUUCUCUGAUGUUAGCGGCGGACGGGUGAGUAACACGUGGAUAACCUACCUAUAAGACUGGGAUAACUUCGGGAAACCGUAGCUAAUACCGGAUAAUAUUUUGAACCGCAUGGUUCAAAAGUGAAAGACGGUCUUGCUGUCACUUAUAGAUGGAUCCGCGCUGCAUUAGCUAGUUGGUAAGGUAACGGCUUACCAAGGCAACGAUGCAUAGCCGACCUGAGAGGGUGAGCGGGCACACGGGAGCGUGGACGCGGUCGCGACGCCGACGGGAGGCAUCAGUGGGGAAUGUUCCGGAAUGGGGGGAAGGCUGACGGAGCAACGCCGGGUGAGAGAGGAAGGCAUUAGGAUCGUAAAACUCUGUUAUUAGGGAAGAACAAGAGUGGAAGGAGAGGAGCACAUCUUGCCGGUACCGAAUCAGAAAGCCACGGCUAACUACGUG